rnacentral:rRNA from 1 species
AUAUCAAUAAGCGGAGGAAAAGAAACCAACAGGGAUUGCCCCAGUAACGGCGAGUGAAGCGGCAACAGCUCAAAUUUGAAAUCUGGCCCUAGGCCCGAGUUGUAAUUUGCAGAGGAUGCUUUUGGUGCGGUGCCUUCCAAGUUCCCUAGAACGGGACGCCAGAGAGGGUGAGAGCCCCGUACAGUUGGACACCAAGCCUUUGUAAAGCUCCUUCGACGAGUCGAGUAGUUUGGGAAUGCUGCUCAAAAUGGGAGGUAUAUUUCUUCUAAAGCUAAAUACCGGCCAGAGACCGAUAGCGCACAAGUAGAGUGAUCGAAAGAUGAAAAGCACUUUGAAAAGAGGGUUAAACAGCACGUGAAAUUGUUAAAAGGGAAGCGCUUGUGACCAGACUUGCGUCCGGUGAAUCACCCAGCUCUCGCGGCUGGGGCACUUCGCCGGCUCAGGCCAGCAUCAGCUCGCUGUCGGGGACAAAAGCUUCAGGAACGUAGCUCUCUUCGGGGAGUGUUAUAGCCUGUUGCAUAAUACCCUUCGGCGGGCUGAGGUACGCGCUCCGCAAGGAUGCUGGCAUAAUGGUCAUCAGCGACCCGUCUUGAAACACGGACCAAGGAGUCAACCUUAUGU